AACGAACGCUGGUGGCAUGCCUAACACAUGCAAGUCGAACGAGAUCUUCGGGUCUAGUGGCGCACGGGUGCGUAACGCGUGGGAAUCUGCCCUUUGGUUCGGAAUAACAGUUGGAAACGACUGCUAAUACCGGAUGAUGAAUAAAGCCCAAAGAUUUAUCGCCAGAGGAUGAGCCCGCGUAGGAUUAGCUAGUUGGUGUGGUAAAGGCGCACCAAGGCGACGAUCCUUAGCUGGUCUGAGAGGAUGAUCAGCCACACUGGGACUGAGACACGGCCCAGACUCCUACGGGAGGCAGCAGUGGGGAAUAUUGGACAAUGGGCGAAAGCCUGAUCCAGCAAUGCCGCGUGAGUGAUGAAGGCCUUAGGGUUGUAAAGCUCUUUUACCCGGGAUGAUAAUGACAGUACCGGGAGAAUAAGCUCCGGCUAACUCCGUGCCAGCCGCCGCAGUAA
rnacentral:rRNA from 1 species